AGUGAACGCUGGCGGUAGGCCUAACACAUGCAAGUCGAACGGCAGCACAGUAAGAGCUUGCUCCUAAGGGUGGCGAGUGGCGGACGGGUGAGGAAUACAUCGGAAUCUACUUUUUCGUGGGGGAUAACGUAGGGAAACUUACGCUAAUACCGCAUACUACCUACGGGUGAAAGCAGGGGAUCUUCGGACCUUGCGCGAGUGAAUGAGCCGAUGUCGCAUUAGCUAGUUGGCAGGGUACAGGCCCACCCAGGCGACGAUCCGUAGCUGGUCUGAGAGCAUGAUCAGCCACACUGGAACUGAGACACGGACCAGACUCCUACGGGAGGCAGCAGUGGGGAAUAUUGGACAAUGGGCGAAAGCGUGAUCCAGCCACACCGCGUGGGUGAAGAAGGCCUUCGGGUUGUAAAACCCUUUUGUUGGGAAAGAACAGCAGCGGGUUUAUACCCCGAUGUUCUGACGGUACCCAAAGAAUAAGCACCGGCUAACUUCGUG
rnacentral:rRNA from 1 species